GGUUAAGUUAGAAAGGGCGCACGGUGGAUGCCUUGACACUAGGAGUCGAUGAAGGACGGGACUAACGCCGAUAUGCUUCGGGGAGCUGUAAGUAAGCUUUGAUCCGAAGAUUUCCGAAUGGGGAAACCCACCAUACGUAAUGGUAUGGUAUCCUUAUCUGAAUACAUAGGGUAAGGAAGACAGACCCAGGGAACUGAAACAUCUAAGUACCUGGAGGAAGAGAAAGCAAAUGCGAUUUCCUGAGUAGCGGCGAGCGAAACGGAACAUAGCCCAAACCAAGAGGCUUGCCUCUUGGGGUUGUAGGACAUUCUAUACGGAGUUACAAAGGAACGAGGUAGACGAAGCGACCUGGAAAGGUCCGUCGUAGAGGGUAACAACCCCGUAGUCGAAACUUCGUUCUCUCUUGAAUGUAUCCUGAGUACGGCGGAACACGUGAAAUUCCGUCGGAAUCUGGGAGGACCAUCUCCCAAGGCUAAAUACUCCCUAGUGAUCGAUAGUGAACCAGUACCGUGAGGGAAAGGUGAAAAGCACCCCGGAAGGGGAGUGAAAGAGAUCCUGAAACCGUGUGCCUACAAAUAGUCAGAGCCCGUUAACGGGUGAUGGCGUGCCUUUUGUAGAAUGAACCGGCGAGUUACGAUCCCGUGCGAGGUUAAGCUGAAGAGGCGGAGCCGCAGCGAAAGCGAGUCUGAAUAGGGCGUUUAGUACGUGGUCGUAGACCCGAAACCAGGUGAUCUACCCAUGUCCAGGGUGAAGUUCAGGUAACACUGAAUGGAGGCCCGAACCCACGCACGUUGAAAAGUGCGGGGAUGAGGUGUGGGUAGCGGAGAAAUUCCAAUCGAACCUGGAGAUAGCUGGUUCUCCCCGAAAUAGCUUUAGGGCUAGCCUUAAGUGUAAGAGUCUUGGAGGUAGAGCACUGAUUGGACUAGGGGUCCUCAUCGGAUUACCGAAUUCAGUCAAACUCCGAAUGCCAAUGACUUAUCCUUAGGAGUCAGACUGCGAGUGAUAAGAUCCGUAGUCAAAAGGGAAACAGCCCAGACCGCCAGCUAAGGUCCCAAAGUGUGUAUUAAGUGGAAAAGGAUGUGGAGUUGCUUAGACAACUAGGAUGUUGGCUUAGAAGCAGCCACCAUUUAAAGAGUGCGUAAUAGCUCACUAGUCGAGUGACUCUGCGCCGAAAAUGUACCGGGGCUAAAUACACCACCGAAGCUGCGGAUUGAUACCAAUGGUAUCAGUGGUAGGGGAGCGUUCUAAGGACAGUGAAGUCAGACCGGAAGGACUGGUGGAGUGCUUAGAAGUGAGAAUGCCGGUAUGAGUAGCGAAAGACGGGUGAGAAUCCCGUCCACCGAAUGCCUAAGGUUUCCUGAGGAAGGCUCGUCCGCUCAGGGUUAGUCAGGACCUAAGCCGAGGCCGACAGGCGUAGGCGAUGGACAACAGGUUGAUAUUCCUGUACCACCUCUUUAUCGUUUGAGCAAUGGAGGGACGCAGAAGGAUAGAAGAAGCGUGCGAUUGGUUGUGCACGUCCAAGCAGUUAGGCUGAUAAGUAGGCAAAUCCGCUUAUCGUGAAGGCUGAGCUGUGAUGGGGAAGCUCCUUAUGGAGCGAAGUCUUUGAUUCCCCGCUGCCAAGAAAAGCUUCUAGCGAGAUAAAAGGUGCCUGUACCGCAAACCGACACAGGUAGGCGAGGAGAGAAUCCUAAGGUGUGCGAGAGAACUCUGGUUAAGGAACUCGGCAAAAUGACCCCGUAACUUCGGGAGAAGGGGUGCUUUCUUAACGGAAAGCCGCAGUGAAUAGGCCCAAGCGACUGUUUAGCAAAAACACAGCUCUCUGCGAAGCCGUAAGGCGAAGUAUAGGGGGUGACACCUGCCCGGUGCUGGAAGGUUAAGGAGAGGGGUUAGCGUAAGCGAAGCUCUGAACUGAAGCCCCAGUAAACGGCGGCCGUAACUAUAACGGUCCUAAGGUAGCGAAAUUCCUUGUCGGGUAAGUUCCGACCCGCACGAAAGGUGUAACGAUUUGGGCACUGUCUCAACCAGAGACUCGGUGAAAUUAUAGUACCUGUGAAGAUGCAGGUUACCCGCGACAGGACGGAAAGACCCCGUGGAGCUUUACUGUAGCCUGAUAUUGAAUUUUGGUACAGUUUGUACAGGAUAGGCGGGAGCCUUUGAAACCGGAGCGCUAGCUUCGGUGGAGGCGCUGGUGGGAUACCGCCCUGACUGUAUUGAAAUUCUAACCUACGGGUCUUAUCGACCCGGGAGACAGUGUCAGGUGGGCAGUUUGACUGGGGCGGUCGCCUCCUAAAGUGUAACGGAGGCGCCCAAAGGUUCCCUCAGAAUGGUUGGAAAUCAUUCGUAGAGUGCAAAGGCAUAAGGGAGCUUGACUGCGAGACCUACAAGUCGAGCAGGGACGAAAGUCGGGCUUAGUGAUCCGGUGGUUCCGCAUGGAAGGGCCAUCGCUCAACGGAUAAAAGCUACCCCGGGGAUAACAGGCUUAUCUCCCCCAAGAGUCCACAUCGACGGGGAGGUUUGGCACCUCGAUGUCGGCUCAUCGCAUCCUGGGGCUGUAGUCGGUCCCAAGGGUUGGGCUGUUCGCCCAUUAAAGCGGUACGCGAGCUGGGUUCAGAACGUCGUGAGACAGUUCGGUCCCUAUCCGUCGUGGGCGUAGGAAAUUUGAGAGGAGCUGUCCUUAGUACGAGAGGACCGGGAUGGACGCACCGCUGGUGUACCAGUUGUUCUGCCAAGGGCAUAGCUGGGUAGCUAUGUGCGGAAGGGAUAAGUGCUGAAAGCAUCUAAGCAUGAAGCCCCCCUCAAGAUGAGAUUUCCCAUAGCGUAAGCUAGUAAGAUCCCUGAAAGAUGAUCAGGUUGAUAGGUUCGAGGUGGAAGCAUGGUGACAUGUGGAGCUGACGAAUACUAAUAGAUCGAGGACUUAACCAU
rfam:Bacillus anthracis str. 'Ames Ancestor', complete genome.